rnacentral:rRNA from 1 species
GACGAACGCUGGCGGCGUGCCUAAUACAUGCAAGUAGAACGCUGAAGGAGGAGCUUGCUUCUCUGGAUGAGUUGCGAACGGGUGAGUAACGCGUAGGUAACCUGCCUGGUAGCGGGGGAUAACUAUUGGAAACGAUAGCUAAUACCGCAUAAUAGCAGUUGCUGCAUGACAACUGUUUGAAAGGUGCAUUUGCACCACUACCAGAUGGACCUGCGUUGUAUUAGCUAGUUGGUGGGGUAACGGCUCACCAAGGCGACGAUACAUAGCCGACCUGAGAGGGGGAUCGGCAAAACUGGGAACGAGAACAGGCCCAGAACCCUACGGGAGGCAGCAGUAGGGAAACUUCGGCAAUGGACGGAAGUCUGACCGAGCAACGCCGCGUGAGUGAAGAAGGUUUUCGGAUCGUAAAGCUCUGUUGUAAGAGAAGAAAGAGUGUGAGAGUGGAAAGUUCACACUGUGACGGUAUCUUAACUGAAAGGGACGGCUAACUACGUG